rnacentral:rRNA from 1 species
GACGAACGCUGGCGGCGUGCUUAACACAUGCAAGUCGAACGGUAAGGCCCCUUCGGGGGUACACGAGUGGCGAACGGGUGAGUAACACGUGAGCAACCUGCCCUUGACUCUGGAAUAACAGUUGGAAACAGCUGCUAAUACUGGAUAUUCAUCGUCUCCUUCCUGGGGGGUGAUGGAAAGCUCCGGCGGUCAGGGAUGGGCUCGCGGCCUAUCAGCUUGUUGGUGAGGUAAUGGCUCACCAAGGCUUCGACGGGUAGCCGGCCUGAGAGGGCGACCGGCCACACGGGGACUGAGAUACGGCCCAGACUCGUACGGGAGGCAGCAGUGGGGAAUAUUGCACAAUGGGGGCAAGCCUGAUGCAGCAGCGCCGCGUGCGGGAUGAUGGCCUUCGGGUUGUAAACCGCUUUCAGUAGGGACGAAGGGUGACUGACGGUACCUACAGAAGAAGGACCGGCUAACUACGUG